AAUCGAUGAUGAUAGAUUGUUAGACUUGUUUCUCAACAUUCGCAGGGCCGUCUCUAAGGACUUUCGCCUUGCCGAGUUUGAGAGUCUGUGCUGCUUCUUCCUUGGAUGUCUGAGAUU
rnacentral:snoRNA from 1 species